rnacentral:rRNA from 1 species
AACGAACGCUGGCGGCAGGCUUAACACAUGCAAGUCGAACGCAUCCUUCGGGGUGAGUGGCAGACGGGUGAGUAACGCGUGGGAACGUGCCCUUCAGUUCGGGAUAACCCAGGGAAACUUGGGCUAAUACCGGAUACGUGCGAGAGCAGAAAGAUUUAUCGCUGAAGGAUCGGCCCGCGUCUGAUUAGCUAGUUGGUGGGGUAAUGGCCCACCAAGGCGACGAUCAGUAGCUGGUCUGAGAGGAUGAUCAGCCACAUUGGGACUGAGACACGGCCCAAACUCCUACGGGAGGCAGCAGUGGGGAAUAUUGGACAAUGGGCGCAAGCCUGAUCCAGCCAUGCCGCGAGAGUGAUGAAGUCCUUAGGGUUGUAAAGCUCUUUCGUCCGGGACGAUAAUGACGGUACCGGAAGAAGAAGCCCCGGCUAACUUCGUGCCAGCCGCCGCAGUAA